rnacentral:rRNA from 1 species
CUAGGAGGCCAUGCCACUUUCAACAUGCCCGAUCUCAUCUGAUCUCAGAAGCUAAGCAGGGUCAGACCUGGUUAGUAUUUGGAUGGGAGACCACAUAGGAAUUCUGGGUGCUGA